UGAACGCUAGCGGCAGGCUUAACACAUGCAAGUCGAGGGGUAACAGGAUUUAGUUUACUAGAUUGCUGACGACCGGCGCACGGGUGAGUAACGCGUAUACAAUUUGCCUUUUACUGAAGAAUAGCCCAGAGAAAUUUGGAUUAAUGCUUCAUAGUAUUAAUUGGUCACCUGGCCGAUUAAUUAAAGCUCCGGCGGUAAAAGAUGAGUAUGCGUCCUAUUAGCUAGAUGGUAAGGUAACGGCUUACCAUGGCGACGAUAGGUAGGGGUCCUGAGAGGGAGAUCCCCCACACUGGUACUGAGACACGGACCAGACUCCUACGGGAGGCAGCAGUGAGGAAUAUUGGGCAAUGGAGGCAACUCUGACCCAGCCAUGCCGCGUGCAGGAAGACUGCCCUAUGGGUUGUAAACUGCUUUUAUACAGGAAGAAACUUAUCCACGUGUGGAUAACUGACGGUACUGUAAGAAUAAGGACCGGCUAACUCC
rnacentral:rRNA from 1 species